AGAAUCAACGCUGGCGGCGUGCCUAACACAUGCAAGUCGAACGAGAAAGUGGAGCAAUCCAUGAGUAAAGUGGCGCACGGGUGAGUAACACGUGACUAACCUACCCUUGAGUGGGGAAUAACUUCGGGAAACCGAGGCUAAUACCGCAUAACACCUACGGGUCAAAGGAGCAAUUCGCUUAAGGAGGGGGUCGCGGCAGAUUAGUUAGUUGGCGGGGUAAUGGCCCACCAAGACGGUGAUCUGUAUCCGGCCUGAGAGGGCGCACGGACACACUGGAACUGAAACACGGUCCAGACUCCUACGGGAGGCAGCAGUGGGGAAUUUGCGCAAUGGGGGAAACCCUGACGCAGCAACGCCGCGUGGAGGAUGAAGUCCCUUGGGACGUAAACUCCUUUCGAUCGGGACGAUUAUGACGGUACCGGAAGAAGAAGCCCCGGCUAACUUCGUGCCAGCAGCCGC
rnacentral:rRNA from 1 species